AUGCAUAUAUGCCUAAAUGGCUGCAGCCUGCAGGGUGAUGAUGAUGAAGUUAGAAGAACAGGAAUACUGGACUUCGAUGAAUUGAGUAGUAGUACUAGUAGUGUCCCUCGUUACUGGAGACGAUGGCUAAAACCAAAUGACCAUAAAAUUUGCGUAAAGGUUGAUAAAGAAACUGGACAUAGAUUUGGGAAAGAGCAUCCAUUACCUGACAAAGAGAACACCAAGGUGCCAGUUUAUGCAUUAGCACAACUAAUUGGAUCAAUUUCAGCCUCAUUUACUGUGUCUGUAUUACUGCACCCCAUUAAGCAUGUGGGAACUACAUCACCUUCUGGAUCAGAGCUUCAAGCUCUGGUCACAGAGAUAAUCGUGACAUUUUCUAUGAUGUUCAUCACUUCAGCAGUUGCCACCGAUACUAAAGCUAUAGGAGAGCUAGCAGGUAUAGCAGUUGGGUCUGCAGUAUGCAUAACAUCCAUCUUUGCUGGACCAAUAUCAGGUGGAUCUAUGAAUCCAGCCAGGACAAUCGGACCAGCGCUUGCUAGUGCAUACUACAACGGGAUAUGGAUCUACAUGGUCGGACCGGUGAUCGGAGCACUACUAGGGGCAUAUGGUCUUACAGCUUCAUUCGGGUGAAUGACAAGCCUGUUCAGGCAAGUCCAUCACGUUCACUUUCACUCCAGCUUCGUCGAAUAAAGAGCGAUGUUCAUGGGCAGGCUGUUUCCAUCUGCAAAGACCCUCUAGAUUUAGCUUGA